GAUACUGUUGAUGAAGUCAUAGAGGUCCAAGUCUUAUCAUCUUCAUAUUUAUUUCACCUUUACCCUGCAUGAUAGUGCAAAUUCUCUGCUUAUGAAAAUUUUGAAGUAAAUGAGAGGAAGGAAAAAUUUUAAAAGGUCUUCCUAUAUAAUUGGUUACACAAUUGGAAUACAGUUACAUUUUUCUAUCUUUGUGACGUUGGUUGCUUGUGGAAUCUUAAGUUCAUAUUUUGACAUUUGCAGUUGUAUUGCUUGAUCCUGCUUCUUUAAACCUACCUUAUUUUCUUUUUCUUGAAAUAUGAUUCAUAAAUGACAGAAUUUUUAACCUUUAUUUUAUUUAAACUUUUAAAGAUUUUGUGUGUUUCUAUUGAAGAACGUAAAUGGUGAUGAUGUUUUCUCCGUCAGUUGCACUGAUUUCAUUACUUCAGCACCAUGAUGAUGGAAAAUGGAAACGUAACCUCGAUAUGGAUAUAUAUUAAUUUUCGUUCUAAUUGCUGCAUUGAGAUUUUCACAUAAAAUUGCUUAUAUCACUUUAGCUUUGGGUUGUUGAACUUGAAUGUUUAUUUUGUAGAACUGCAUAAAUCCUUUGUCUUGCCAAGCAAUAGGCACCACCAGCUUAUACUUCAUGCCAUGCUUGUGCUUGUGUUCUAAGUGUGUAGUUUAGCCCCACAUUUGAAUUGCAGAUUAUAAUAUGUACCAUAUCUCAAUUUUCUCUUUUUGAAUAGUUGGCAGAUAUCAAGUGAUGAA
rnacentral:misc_RNA from 1 species